GCGUACGGCCAUAUCAGCCUGGGUACGCCCGAUCUCGUCUGAUCUCGGAAGCUAAGCAGGGUCGGGCCUGGUUAGUACUUGGAUGGUAGACCGCCUGGGAAUGCCAGGUGCUGUAAGCA
rnacentral:rRNA from 1 species